rnacentral:lncRNA from 1 species
AGCAAGUCACUGACGAGUGGAUAGACAUCCAAGUGACUUCUUGUCUUGGUCACGCUCAGUACCCUUGUUCCCUAACAAGCACCUGCACUAUCACUUCAGUGUCCCUACACUGUGGACUCAAGUCUCGUCCAUCUAGAAGGAAAGUGAUCUGUGCACUGAUCGGAUCGAUCACCGUCCUCGUGAUGAUCCAUUGAUCAGGAGCAUUUAGAAAUUAAUCACCAAUGAUACAUGGCUCAAAUUCUCAACUCUUGAGAAUAUGCAUCAUCAUCUUAUUAAUUUCUUGGACGAUUCAUAGACACAUAGAUAAUAUGAAU